CCUUAUCGGGUUACCGAAUUCAGACAAACUCCGAAUGCCAAAUAAUUUAACUUGGGAGUCAGACUAUGGGUGAUAAGGUCCGUAGUCGAAAGGGAAACAGCCCAGACCACCAGCUAAGGUCCCAAAAUAUAUGUUAAGUGGAAAAGGAUGUGGCGUUGCCCAGACAACUAGGAUGUUGGCUUAGAAGCAGCCAUCAUUUAAAGAGUGCGUAAUAGCUCACUAGUCGAGUGACACUGCGCCGAAAAUGUACCGGGGCUAAACAUAUUACCGAAACUGUGGAUCCGUAAGGAUGGUAGGAGAGCGUUCUAUAUGCAGCGAAGCCAAACCGAGAGGGAAAGUGGAGCGUAUAGAAGUGAGAAUGCCGGUGUGAGUAGCGAAAGAUGGGUGAGAAUCCCAUCCACCGAUUGACUAAGGUUUCCAGAGGAAGGCUCGUCCGCUCUGGGUUAGUCGGGUCCUAAGCUGAGGCCGAUAGGCGUAGGCGAUGGAUAACAGGUUGAUAUUCCUGUACCACCAUUAUUCGUUUUAAGCGAUGGGGGGACGCAGUAGGAUAGGCGAAGCGUGCUGUUGGAGUGCACGUCCAAGCAAUAAGACUGAGUGUUAGGCAAAUCCGGCACUCUUAAGAUUGAACUGUGAUGGGGAGAGGAAAUUGUUUCCUCGAGUCGUUGAUUUCACACUGCCAAGAAAAGCCUCUAGCUAGAAUUGUGGUGCCCGUACCGCAAACCGACACAGGUAGUCAAGAUGAGAAUUCUAAGGUGAGCGAGCGAACUCUCGUUAAGGAACUCGGCAAAAUGACCCCGUAACUUCGGGAGAAGGGGUGCUCUUUAGGGUUAACGCCCAGGAGAGCCGCAGUGAAUAGGCCCAAGCGACUGUUUAUCAAAAACACAGGUCUCUGCUAAACCGUAAGGUGAUGUAUAGGGGCUGACGCCUGCCCGGUGCUGGAAGGUUAAGAGGAGUGGUUAGCUUCUGCGAAGCUACGAAUCGAAGCCCCAGUAAACGGCGGCCGUAACUAUAACGGUCCUAAGGUAGCGAAAUUCCUUGUCGGGUAAGUUCCGACCCGCACGAAAGGCGUAACGAUUUGGGCACUGUCUCAACGAGAGACUCGGUGAAAUCAUAGUACCUGUGAAGAUGCAGGUUACCCGCGACAGGACGGAAAGACCCCGUGGAGCUUUACUGUAGUCUGAUAUUGAAAUUCGGCACAGCUUGUACAGGAUAGGUAGGAGCCUGAGAUACGUGAGCGCUAGCUUACGUGGAGGCGUUGGUGGGAUACUACCCUCGCUGUGUUGGAUUUCUAACCCGCACCAUUUAUCAUGGUGGGAGACAGUGUCAGAUGGGCAGUUUGACUGGGGCGGUCGCCUCCUAAAGAGUAACGGAGGCGCUCAAAGGUUUCCUCAGAAUGGUUGGAAAUCAU
rnacentral:rRNA from 1 species